rnacentral:lncRNA from 1 species
AUUAUCGCAGUGUGUGUUUAAGGACUCAAAGAUCAAUAAGAAUUACUCUCUUAUUAGCUUAAGAAAAUCUCUCAAAACUUAAGCUCUCACAAGAUCUCUCUCAAACUCAUAAGUUCAUGCCACAACUCAGCAUCUUCUUAUAUAGAGAUAUCAAAACCCUAAAACACAUAAAUAGCAUAUUUCCUUUUCUCAAUACUAAUAGGAUUAGUCUAACUUGGGCUUCAAGUUAACU